UACGGGGGGAGCAAGCGUUGUUCGGAAUCACUGGGCGUAAAGGGCGUGUAGGCGGCCAAGUAAGUCGGGGGUGAAAUCCACUGGCUCAACCAGUGACGUGCCUUCGAAACUGCCUGGCUUGAGUCUGGCAGAGGGAAGCGGAAUUCCAGGUGUAGCGGUGAAAUGCGUAGAUAUCUGGAAGAACACCGGUGGCGAAGGCGGCUUCCUGGGCCAAUACUGACGCUGAUGCGCGAAAGCCAGGGGAGCGAACGGG
rnacentral:rRNA from 1 species